rnacentral:rRNA from 1 species
UACGAAGGGGGCUAGCGUUGCUCGGAAUUACUGGGCGUAAAGCGUGCGCAGGCGGUGAUGUAAGACAGUUGUGAAAUCCCCGGGCUCAACCUGGGAACUGCAUCUGUGACUGCAUCGCUGGAGUGCGGCAGAGGGGGAUGGAAUUCCGCGUGUAGCAGUGAAAUGCGUAGAUAUGCGGAGGAACACCGAUGGCGAAGGCAAUCCCCUGGGCCUGCACUGACGCUCAUGCACGAAAGCGUGGGGAGCAAACAGG